rnacentral:rRNA from 1 species
UACGGGGGGGGCAAGCGUUGUUCGGAAUUACUGGGCGUAAAGGGUUCGUAGGUGGUCAACUAAGUCAGACGUGAAAUCCCUCAGCUUAACUGGGGAACUGCGUCUGAUACUGGAUGGCUUGAGAUUGGGAGAGGGAUGCGGAAUUCCAGGUGUAGCGGUGAAAUGCGUAGAUAUCUGGAGGAACACCGGUGGCGAAGGCGGCAUCCUGGACCAACACUGACGCUGAGGAGCGAAAGCCAGGGGAGCAAACGGG